GACAGAGGGUGCAAACGUUUGUUCGGAAUUACUGGGCGUAAAGCGCACGUAGGCGGCUUUGUAAGUUAGAGGUGAAAGCCCAGGGCUUAACCCUGGAAUUGCCUUUAAGACUGCAUCGCUAGAAUCGUGGAGAGGUGAGUGGAAUUCCGAGUGUAGAGGUGAAAUUCGUAGAUAUUCGGAAGAACACCAGUGGCGAAGGCGGCUCACUGGACUGGUAUUGACGCUGAGGUGCGAAAGCGUGGGGAGCAAACAGGG
rnacentral:rRNA from 1 species